rnacentral:rRNA from 1 species
CACUCCUACGGGAGGCAGCAGUGGGGAAUAUUGGACAAUGGGCGCAAGCCUGAUCCAGCCAUGCCGCGUGAGUGAUGAAGGCCCUAGGGUUGUAAAGCUCUUUCACCGGAGAAGAUAAUGACGGUAUCCGGAGAAGAAGCCCCGGCUAACUUCGUGCCAGCAGCCGCGGUAAUACGAAGGGGGCUAGCGUUGUUCGGAAUUACUGGGCGUAAAGCGCACGUAGGCGGAUCGAUCAGUCAGGGGUGAAAUCCCAGGGCUCAACCCUGGAACUGCCUUUGAUACUGUCGAUCUGGAGUAUGGAAGAGGUGAGUGGAAUUCCGAGUGUAGAGGUGAAAUUCGUAGAUAUUCGGAGGAACACCAGUGGCGAAGGCGGCUCACUGGUCCAUUACUGACGCUGAGGUGCGAAAGCGUGGGGAGCAAACAGGAUUAGAAACCCCUGUAGUCCC